CUAUUAGGUUGGUGCAAAAGUAAUUGCGGGUUUUGCCAUUACUUUUAGUGGCAAAACCACAAUUACUUUUGCACCAACCUAUAAUA
ensembl:miRNA